GGUUAAGCGACUAAGCGUACACGGUGGAUGCCCUGGCAGUCAGAGGCGAUGAAGGGCGUGCUAAUCUGCGAUAAGCGCCGGUAAGGUGAUAUGAACCGUUAUAACCGGCGAUACCCGAAUGGGGAAACCCAGUGUGACUCGUCACACUAUCAUUAACUGAAUCCAUAGGUUAAUGAGGCGAACCGGGGGAACUGAAACAUCUAAGUACCCCGAGGAAAAGAAAUCAACCGAGAUUCCCCCAGUAGCGGCGAGCGAACGGGGAGGAGCCCAGAGCCUGAAUCAGCAUGUGUGUUAGUGGAAGCGUCUGGAAAGGCGCGCGAUACAGGGUGACAGCCCCGUACACAAAAGCGCAUGUGCUGUGAGCUCGAUGAGUAGGGCGGGACACGUGGUAUCCUGUCUGAAUAUGGGGGGACCAUCCUCCAAGGCUAAAUACUCCUGACUGACCGAUAGUGAACCAGUACCGUGAGGGAAAGGCGAAAAGAACCCCGGCGAGGGGAGUGAAAAAGAACCUGAAACCGUGUACGUACAAGCAGUGGGAGCCCCACCACCAAAGCAUUCUCUGGUGUUGAAGGCCCUGCAAAGCAGCAUCGCGGUGGCGGAGCGUCGUUUGCGACGCCCAACACACAAAACAAGCGGUGAGUGCUUUGGGGUGGGGUGACUGCGUACCUUUUGUAUAAUGGGUCAGCGACUUAUAUUCUGUAGCAAGGUUAACCGAAUAGGGGAGCCGGAGGGAAACCGAGUCUUAAUUGGGCGUUAAGUUGCAGGGUAUAGACCCGAAACCCGGUGAUCUAGCCAUGGGCAGGUUGAAGGUUGGGUAACACUAACUGGAGGACCGAACCGACUAAUGUUGAAAAAUUAGCGGAUGACCUGUGGCUGGGGGUGAAAGGCCAAUCAAACCGGGAGAUAGCUGGUUCUCCCCGAAAGCUAUUUAGGUAGCGCCUCGUGAAUUCAUCUCCGGGGGUAGAGCACUGUUUCGGCUAGGGGGCCAUCCCGGCUUACCAACCCGAUGCAAACUGCGAAUACCGGAGAAUGUUAUCACGGGAGACACACGGCGGGUGCUAACGUCCGUCGUGAAGAGGGAAACAACCCAGACCGCCAGCUAAGGUCCCAAAGUCAUGGUUAAGUGGGAAACGAUGUGGGAAGGCCCAGACAGCCAGGAUGUUGGCUUAGAAGCAGCCAUCAUUUAAAGAAAGCGUAAUAGCUCACUGGUCGAGUCGGCCUGCGCGGAAGAUGUAACGGGGCUAAACCAUGCACCGAAGCUGCGGCAGCGACGCUGAUGCGUUGUUGGGUAGGGGAGCGUUCUGUAAGCCUGUGAAGGUGUGUCGUGAGGCAUGCUGGAGGUAUCAGAAGUGCGAAUGCUGACAUAAGUAACGAUAAAGCGGGUGAAAAGCCCGCUCGCCGGAAGACCAAGGGUUCCUGUCCAACGUUAAUCGGGGCAGGGUGAGUCGACCCCUAAGGCGAGGCCGAAAGGCGUAGUCGAUGGGAAACAGGUUAAUAUUCCCGUACUUGGUGUUACUGCGAAGGGGGGACGGAGAAGGCUAUGUUGGCCGGGCGACGGUUGUCCCGGUUUAAGCGUGUAGGCUGGUUUUCCAGGCAAAUCCGGAAAAUCAAGGCUGAGGCGUGACGACGAGGCACUACGGUGCUGAAGCAACAAAUGCCCUGCUUCCAGGAAAAGCCUCUAAGCAUCAGGUAACAUCAAAUCGUACCCCAAACCGACACAGGUGGUCAGGUAGAGAAUACCAAGGCGCUUGAGAGAACUCGGGUGAAGGAACUAGGCAAAAUGGUGCCGUAACUUCGGGAGAAGGCACGCUGACACGUAGGUGAAGUGAUUUACUCACGGAGCUGAAGUCAGUCGAAGAUACCAGCUGGCUGCAACUGUUUAUUAAAAACACAGCACUGUGCAAACACGAAAGUGGACGUAUACGGUGUGACGCCUGCCCGGUGCCGGAAGGUUAAUUGAUGGGGUCAGCGCAAGCGAAGCUCCUGAUCGAAGCCCCGGUAAACGGCGGCCGUAACUAUAACGGUCCUAAGGUAGCGAAAUUCCUUGUCGGGUAAGUUCCGACCUGCACGAAUGGCGUAAUGAUGGCCAGGCUGUCUCCACCCGAGACUCAGUGAAAUUGAACUCGCUGUGAAGAUGCAGUGUACCCGCGGCAAGACGGAAAGACCCCGUGAACCUUUACUAUAGCUUGACACUGAACAUUGAGCCUUGAUGUGUAGGAUAGGUGGGAGGCUUUGAAGUGUGGACGCCAGUCUGCAUGGAGCCGACCUUGAAAUACCACCCUUUAAUGUUUGAUGUUCUAACGUGGACCCGUAAUCCGGGUUGCGGACAGUGUCUGGUGGGUAGUUUGACUGGGGCGGUCUCCUCCUAAAGAGUAACGGAGGAGCACGAAGGUUGGCUAAUCCUGGUCGGACAUCAGGAGGUUAGUGCAAUGGCAUAAGCCAGCUUGACUGCGAGCGUGACGGCGCGAGCAGGUGCGAAAGCAGGUCAUAGUGAUCCGGUGGUUCUGAAUGGAAGGGCCAUCGCUCAACGGAUAAAAGGUACUCCGGGGAUAACAGGCUGAUACCGCCCAAGAGUUCAUAUCGACGGCGGUGUUUGGCACCUCGAUGUCGGCUCAUCACAUCCUGGGGCUGAAGUAGGUCCCAAGGGUAUGGCUGUUCGCCAUUUAAAGUGGUACGCGAGCUGGGUUUAGAACGUCGUGAGACAGUUCGGUCCCUAUCUGCCGUGGGCGCUGGAGAACUGAGGGGGGCUGCUCCUAGUACGAGAGGACCGGAGUGGACGCAUCACUGGUGUUCGGGUUGUCAUGCCAAUGGCACUGCCCGGUAGCUAAAUGCGGAAGAGAUAAGUGCUGAAAGCAUCUAAGCACGAAACUUGCCCCGAGAUGAGUUCUCCCUGAGACUUAAAGUCUCCUGAAGGAACGUUGAAGACGACGACGUUGAUAGGCCGGGUGUGUAAGCGCAGCGAUGCGUUGAGCUAACCGGUACUAAUGAACCGUGAGGCUUAACCUU
rnacentral:rRNA from 1 species